GACGAACGCUGGCGGCGUGCCUAAUACAUGCAAGUCGAGCGCAGGAAACUGACGGAACUCUUCGGAGGGAAGGCAGCGGAAUGAGCGGCGGACGGGUGAGUAACACGUAGGGAACCUGCCUCAAGGAUUGGGAUAACUCCGAGAAAUCGGAGCUAAUACCGGAUAGUUCAACGGACCGCAUGGUCCGUUGAUGAAAGGCGCUCCGGCGUCACCUUGAGAUGGCCUUGCGGUGCAUUAGCUAGUUGGUGGGGUAACGGCCCACCAAGGCGACGAUGCAUAGCCGACCUGAGAGGGUGAUCGGCCACACUGGGACUGAGACACGGCCCAGACUCCUACGGGAGGCAGCAGUAGGGAAUCUUCCACAAUGGACGAAAGUCUGAUGGAGCAACGCCGCGUGAGUGAUGAAGGUUUUCGGAUCGUAAAACUCUGUUGUAAGGGAAGAACACGUACGAGAGGAAAUGCUCGUACCUUGACGGUACCUUACGAGAAAGCCACGGCUAACUACGUACCAGCCGCCGCGGUAA
rnacentral:rRNA from 1 species